GGGCCCGCACAAGCGGUGGAGCAUGUGGUUUAAUUCGAUGAUACGCGAGGAACCUUACCAGGGCUUAAAUGUAAGUUGCAUGGAUCAGAGAUGAUCCUUUCUUCGGACCACUUACAAGGUGCUGCAUGGUUGUCGUCAGCUCGUGCCGUGAGGUGUCAGGUUAAGUCCUAUAACGAGCGCAACCCCUAUCGUUAGUUGCCAGCAAGUAAAGUUGGGUACUCUAGCGAGACUGCCGGUGCAAACCGAGAGGAAGGUGGGGAUGACGUCAAAUCAUCACGGCCCUUACGUCCUGGGCUACACACGUGCUACAAUGGCCGGUACAGAGAGCAGCCACUACGCGAGUAGGAGCGAAUCUUCAAAGCCGGUCUCAGUUCGGAUCGGGGUCUGCAACUCGGCCCGUGAAGCUGGAAUCGCUAGUAAUCG
rnacentral:rRNA from 1 species